CAGAAUAUUCUGCCCUCAUCCGAGUUCAUUGUCUCACCAACUCAGUUGCUUGGAAGCCAAGUUUCCGAGUUCACCCCCCACUGCUUCGCCUACAUAUUCUUCUCUUCACUCCCCUCUCUUUCAGAGAUCCAGAGCUCAAUCUUGUGAUUUGGCUCUUUCUUUUGGGUUUUCGUUCUCUGUUUCUCCCUUCUUCUUCUCCAAAGGGGUUCGCCUCUCGAUCCUCUGUUUCUUGGUUUCCAUCCCCUCUGUUCUUUACUCUUUACUCCCUACUCCUCCUCUCUACGCCCUCUUCUCUAUCUUCACCAGGGGAUCGCGAAGUUAAUCGUCGGAUUCGCUUUCUUCCUGGGGUUUCAAAUUUUCUAUCCCCUGUUUUUGGUGUCUUCUCCUCCUCACUCCAUUGAGUGGUUUUCUCUGUUUCCUGGGUUACAUCCCCUGUUUUCCCCUAAUGCCAAUUUUACCCUAAAGCAAGCAUUAAACGCGUGCCGUUAGAAGCGUACAAAGCCGGAAUCGUCUUCACCAUUGGGAUCCAUAUCUUUCACUAGGCAGGACUUAGGAGUAUUGUGGGCGCCUGUUUUGGGACAUAUAUAGCGCACCAAACACCCUCGAGGAUCAUCCCCCGUUUCCAAAGGAUUCCACGCCUCAAUCCCUGUUUCUUUCUGCUCUGUUUCUUCAGCAAUGGAAACUGCAGUCUCCAGUAAUCCCAAUUACAAUCCAGGAAGACACCUCCCUCCUCGACAGAGAGGAGGGAUCAAAAAACAGAUAUUCAAAGACUUUCUUAAAUAUGUUAGUGCCAUCGCGCUUUUACUGGGCCAGAUGGAAGCAAAUCAAGGGGAUAGUGGCGGUCGUCGCCUUAGCUCCGCCUCCGCACCUCUUCCUGAAAUCCCUCCUGGCUACACUUCAGAUCUGAGGCGUUGAUUCAUUAAAUUAGAUUUGGCGAUGGUUGUCUUUUGAUAUAUGCUUGGAUGCCGAGAAAAUUUCACAUGUCAUUCCAAUUUCUCCCUUCCUUCAGUUUGACAGAACUGAGGAAAGGCGAUCGACGAUCGACGAUCGGAAACGUUAUGAUUGGGUACUGUCCUCCAUGCCUGUGUAUAUAAAUCCAGAAAUCUUCUUGUAGAAACUUUGUAUUUUCACUUUGUACAUACUUCGUUAAUAAAGUGGAAUGAAUCAAUCAAUGUAUUAUUGAUUUCUGGACUUCUGUGAUAUGAAAUGCGUCCAUGAAUUUGCAAAUGAAUCCGAAGAUCAUCUAUGCCACCGCCUCCUUCACUCUUCCAAAUUGUUUUCGCUUUAUAAUUGUGCAUAAUUCAGUUUUGAGCUGCCGUUGGUUGCCAAAAUCUCGUAGGGACACUUUCAAUUAUUCACUGAAUCAUCCAUGGUUCUUGCUAUCUCAGAUUGAAUUUUUUUUUCCCUUUUAGGGAAAUGCAUUUAUGUUUCUUAAAUUCUUUUGCAUAUAGGUUAAAGAUUUAUUUAUUUUCAAUUAGAAGUGUAAUGACUCCGAAGUUCCUUCCAAAUAUCUGGAACCCAACUGAAAAUUGCAAUGUUUGGAGAAUAAAACCCCAUCUAACUGGGGGAAUUUUCGUGGAAGAUUAAAAAAUAAAUAAAUUUUUGAAAUUUUUUUAAAUAUAUAUAUAUAAAAUGAAAUCCAAGUUGCGAAAUUCAGCCUUCUAGAAUGAUAUUUCUUUGUUGUUAAGUAAAGUAUAAAAUGGGUUGUAACUGGAUUUUUUUUACUUCGGAAGAUGACGAACAACAUGUGUCAUAAUAAAAAAAGACCCUCUUGUCCUUUGUGGUUGAAUCCUGUUGGGGGCUGAGUUCAGUCCAUCCCAAUCAUAAGUUGUCUUUUUGGGAAAUCCAAAGAAAAUUUAUAACUUUACGUUAAAAGUAAAAAAAUUAAAAACCAACAAUUCUCUUCUCUUUGAAUGUAGGCACUUUAAAUAAGGCUUCUCUGGAGACUUUAAGUUAAUGAAGACAAAGAAUAUAGAAGUUAAAUGAUCAAAGCUAAAUUAAUUUUACAUUCCUACACACCCUACAAACACAAUGGUCACGGCUCAUAAAUUUUUUUUCCCAAAUUGAAGAGUAUAAUAAUUUUUAUAAAAUUUUCCAAGCGAGGGAAUUUGAUUCAAAAAGCGGUGAUUAAUGAAAAAGGAUCAUAUAACAAAAAAAAAAAAAGUCAAUUUAUUAGUGCCUUGAGUAAAAUAUUUCAAUUUGAAGAGAAAACACGUGAGGAAAAAUCACCCACUGGGAAGUUAGGGAGUUAGGGAGUUAGUACCGUAACUGUAAUGAAUUACGGCGGUCCACACAGAAUAUUCUGCCCUCAUGACUCAUCCGAGUUCAUUGUCUCACCAAGUCAGUUGCUUGGAAGCCAAGUUUCCGAGUUCAGCCCACUGCUUGGCCUACAUAUUCUUCUCUUCACUCACCUCUCUUUCAGAGAUCCACAGCUCAAUCUUGUGAUUUUGCUCUUUCUUUUGGGUUUUCGUUCUCCAUUUCUCCCUUCUUCUCCGAAGGGGUUCGCCUCUCGAUCCUCUGUUCUUUACUCUUUACUCCCUACUUCUCCUCUCUACGCCCUCUUCUCUCUCUUCACCGAGGGAUCGCGAAGUUAAUCGUCGGAUUCGCUUUCUUCCUGGGGUUUCAAAAUUUCUAUCCCCUGUUUUUGGUGUCUUCUCCUCCUCACUCCAUUCAGUGGUUUUCUAUGUUUCCUGGGUUUCAUCCCCUGUUUUCCCCUAAUGCCAAUUUUACCCUAAAGCAAGCAUUAAACGCGUGCCGUUAGAAUCGUACAAAGCCAGAAUCGUCUUCACCAUUGGGAUCCAUAUCUUUCACUAGGCAGGACUUAGGAGUAUUGUGGGCGCCUGUUUUGGGAUAUAUAUAGCGCACCAAACACCCUCGAGGAUCAUCCCCCAUUUCCAAAGGAUUCCACGCCUCAAUCCCUGUUUCUUUCUGCUCUGUUUCUUCAGCAAUGGAAACUGCAGUCUCCAGUAAUCCCAAUUACAAUCCAGGAAGACACCUCCCUCCUCAACAGAGAGGAGGGAUCAAAAAACAGAUAUUCAGAGACUUUCUCAAAUAUGUUAGUGCCAUCGCGCUUUUACUGGGCCAGAUGGAAGCAAAUCAAGGGGAUAGUGGCGGCCGUCGCGUUAGCUCCGCCUCCGCACCUCUUCCUGAAAUCCCUACUGGCUACACUUCAGAUCUGAGGCGUUGAUUCGUUAAUUAGAUUUGGCGAUGGCUGUCUUUUGAUAUAUGCUUGGAUGCCGAGAAAAUUUCACAUUUCAUUCCAAUUUCAUUCCAAUUUCUCCCUUCCUUCAGUUUGACAGAACUGAGGAAAGUCGAUCGACGAUCGACGAUCGGAAGCGUUAUGAUUGGGUACUGUCCUCCCCUGUAUAUAAAUCCAGAAAUCUUCUUGUAGAAACUUUGUACUUUCACUUUGUACAUACUUCGUUAAUAAAGUGGAAUGAAUCAAUCAAUGUAUUAUUGAUUUCUGGAUUACUGUGAUAUGAAAUGCGUCCAUGAAUUUGCAAAUGAAUCCGAAGAUCAUCUAUGCCACCGCCUCCUUCACUCUUCCAAAUUGUUUUCGCUUUAUAAUUGUGCAUAAUUCAGUUUUGUGCUGCCGUUGGUUGCCAAAAUCUCGUAGGGACACUUUCAAUUAUGCACUGAAUCAUCCAUGGAAUCCACCAAACCGGCAAUUCCUAUACAUGGUUCUUGCUAUCUCAGAUUGAAAUUUUUUUUUUCCCUUUGAGGGAAAUGCAUUUAUGUUUCUUAAAUUCUUUUGCAUAUAGGUUAAAGAUUUAUUUAUUUUCAAUUAGAAGUGUAAUGACUCCGAAGUUCCUUCCAAGUAUCUGGAACCCAACUGAAAAUUGCAAUGUUUGGAGAAUAAAAUCGCAUCUAACUGGGGGAAUUUUCGUGGAAGAUUAAAAAAUAAAUAAAAUUUUGAAUUUUUUUAAUAUAUGUAUAUAUAUAUAUAUAUAAAAUGAAACCCACGUUGCGAAAUUCAGCCUUCUAGAAUGAUAUUUCUUUGUUGUUAAGUAAAGUAUAAAAUGGGUUGUAACUGGAAAUGUUAUUUUAUUUUAUUUUUAUAGGCGUUACUCAUUUUUAUUUUAUUUUUUUUUACUUCAGAAGAUGACGAACAACAUGUGUCAUAAUAAAAAUACCCUUUUGUCCUUUGUGGUUGAAUCCUGUUGGGGGCUGAGUUCAGUCCAUCCCAAUCAUAAGUUGUCUUUUUGGGAAAUCCAAAGAAAAUUUAAAACUUUAUGUUAAAGUAAAAAAAUUAAAAACCAACAAUUCUCUUCUCUUUGAAUGUCGGCAUUUUAAAUGAGGCUUCUCUCGUGACUUUAAGUUAAUGAAGACAAAGAAUAUAGAAGUUAAAUGAUCAAAGCUAAAUUAAUUUUACAUUCCUACACACCCUACAAAACAAUGGUCACGGCUCUUAAAUUUUUUUUCCCAAAUUGAAGGGUAUAUUAAUUUUUAAAAUUUUUUCCAAGUGAGGGAAUUUGAUUCAAAAAGCGGUGAUUAAUGAAAAAGGAUCAUAUAACAAAAAAAAAAAAAAAAGUCAAUUUAUUAGUGCCUUGAGUAAAAUAUUUAAAUUUGAAGAGAAAACACGUGAGGAAAAAUCACCCACUGGCAGUUAGGGAGUUAGUACUGUAACUGUAAUGAAUUACGGCGGUCACACAGAAUAUUCUGCCCUCAUCCGAGUUCAUUGUCUCACCAACUCAGCUGCUUGGAAGCCAAGUUUCUGAGUUCAGCCCCACUGCUUGACCUAUAUAUUCUUCUCUUCACUCACCUCUCUUUCAGAGAUCCAGAGCUCAAUCUUGUGAUUUUGCUCUUUCUUUUGGGUUUUCGUUCUCUAUUUCUCCCUUCUUCUUCUCCGAAGGGGUUCGCCUCUCGAUCCUCUGUUUCUUGGUUUCCAUCCCUCUGUUCUUUACUCUUUACUCCCUACUCCUCCUCUCUACGCCCUCUUCUUUCUCUUCACCGAGGGAUCGCGAAUUUAAUCGUCGGAUUCGCUUUCUUCCUGGGGUUUCAAAAUUUCUAUCCCCUGUUUUUGGUGUCUUCUCCCUACUCCAUUCAGUGGUUUUCUCUGUUUCCUGGGUUCCAUCCCCUGUUUUCCCCUAUCUUUUAUUUAGCUUCGAAACUGUUCAAACCCAUCUCCUGCAAAUGGAUACUCCAGUGUCUAUUUCCAAAGACAGACCAGAACGACGCUUCCCUCCACCUAGAGGACGAGUCAAAAAAGAAAUUUUCAAAAGCCUGGUGAAAUCUUUCGGCACAGUUGCAGGAAGGGCGAGUGGGGCGAUAAGGAAGCGAGAAGAAAAUGGUGGUCGGCUCAGCUCGACCUCCACUACUCCCGCUGAAACUCCCAGUGGAUACAGCUCAGAUGGGUAGUCUUGAUCCACUGAAUUCAUAUUUCUCAACUCCCCUGUACAGUUGGUGAACGCUGACCUGCGAUGCUAUUUGGAUUCCUAGAAAGUGUUUCAUUUUUUCAUUUUCUUGUUCCUUUUCUUUCGAUGGAAAGAGAAGAGGCGUUGAAGAUUGGAAUUCUCUGUUGAUUGUUGUAAUAUAAAAAUAAAAUCAUGAGCCCAGAGAUGUUCUCAUCUGUAAACAUAUGAUUCUGGUGUUCCGAGCCUGUGUCAUUUUAGCAAAUUUUGGAACAAUAUUAAUUCAUGGAAAUGUGACGAGAAUGAUGAUUUGUUCUCCCAGUUUUCUCAAACACUUGCUACAUUUUUUUUUUUCUCAGAUUCUCUGUUCUUCAUUGAAAGCAGAGGAAAAUAAGUUCAUAUCUACUAGGAUAGAUCUUGAAGAUAAUGCAUAUAAUUCAGAUCAUGGGGUCUGUUUGGAUCGGAUGAUUUUCGAUUCUCUUGAAAAUUUGAACUCCUAAAUCGCCAAUCUCCCUACAGCAACAUUUGGUUUAAGUUCUCUGUUUAAGUCAAUACAAGAACAAUAUUUUGCUAUUCGGUCAGGUAUUUUAAAACCUAUUUGAUUUGAUUUGUAUACGCCUUUUGGAAGGUCCCUUUCCUUCAUUCUUAUACACAAUCUUUUAUUAGGUUCUAAUAAUUAAAAUAAUUUGAUUAUGAUUAAUUUAAGCAUGGAAGUUAGGGUUAUGAAAAAAGAUAAUGUAUUUUAAGUUUCAAGAAUGGGCAUCAUUAAGAAAAUAACAAAGAGAGUGAGUCAGUUGAGGGCGGCCCAGCCGAGGGUGGCCCAGCCUUUUGGGCACAGGUUACCAUGCAAUACUAGGCUGGGGACGCCUGCAGUGAAUAAAUUAUAUCAUCUCAGUCCCAUGUGACUUCAACACGGUCUCCCUCAAGACUCUCAAUAAGUCAUCCUUACGUGAAUUUGUUAGUUGAAUAAUUUGAGAAAAAAAAUAUUAAAAAAAAAGGAGAAAAAUAGGGGGAAAUAAAAUAUAUAUAUUUAAGUCAUCCUUACAUAUUUAUUUUUUAUUUUUUAAAAAUAAAUAUGUAUGAACGGUCAUAUCAUAGCCUCUUGUAACUCAAUAAGUUGUUGGUAACAAUUCUUGUAAUAAUUAUAGUAGGCUAAAAUUGAUGUAUUAAUGUAUAUUUUUUAUUUUGUUUUUUAAGGUUUGCUUGAUAGUAAUUUUAUAAAAUGUUUUUAACUUUUUUUAACAUUUAAGAAAUAUUUAUUUUUUUAAGUGUUAGAAACAAAUUCAAGUGCUAAAAAAAAUUAAAAACAUUUUCUAGAAUUAUUGACAAAUAGACUACUACUAUGCUAAAAAUUUCAAAAUAUCGUGAUAAAACCAUUUUUUAAAAUUAUUGUUAAAUAGAUUUUAUAUCAUUACAUGUAUUUUAAUUUUAAUAAUAUGUUAUAUUAAUGUCUAAGUUGGUAAUUAUGUGUUGUAUUAAAAUUAGUGAGAAACUUAUAUAUAUUAAAAUUAUUUCAUCACUAUAUCGAAAAAAAUAAAUUAAAUUAAAUCAUUUUAAAAUAAUAUAUAAAAAUAAUUUAUUGAUUUUUUUUAAAAAAAUUUCUCUCUCCUUUUUUCUUGUAUUUUCUCUCAAAUUUUUUAAAAAUCAAACAUUGCCUUAAUUACAUAAUAAAGAAUCUCAGAACAUAAAAAUAUUUUUAAAUGUUAAUAUUUUUAUCAUCACUAAAAUUGAUAGUUACUCCAUAGAAGUCAGCCUUCCAGAAUAUGGAAGCUGGUGUUCCUUGGUCCUUAAGCGAAAAGGAUGUCUGUGGUAUUUUACCACAAGGAAUAGAAUAUGAUUGGACUAGAUUUGGCCUUCAGUUUCUUUUGACUGACCAUAUCUAGAAUCGAAAUCCUAGCUGGCAACAAAAGACACAUUGACUGAGUCAAGCUAAACCUUCUUUAUUGACUCAACAACAACUCUCGAUAAAAAGAAUCACUGUAAGAUGAUAUUUUACAAUUGGGUCAAAGCUAAUGUUUGUUUAGGAUAAAAAAAUAGACACUACCCUACCCUUUUCCUUCCUUGGUUGAUAGAAAAUAAUAUGGGAGUGAAAGGCAUUGUAAGGUAGACCUUUUUGAUAGGUUACGAAAAGGCAUCCCUAAUAAAAUGUGUUAACUGGUUUCAUAAUUUUAUAUCUGAAUCUUAAUCAUUUGAAUUUUAUAUAUGUCCUAAUAUUUUAUGCCUGGAUGACAAUUUCGAAACGGGUCGUUCUCAUCUCAACUUUGCCUAUUUAAUUCUUUAAAAAAAAAUUAUUUUUAAAAUUUUAAAUUAUAUUAAAAUAAAUAUAUUUUAUAAAUAAUUAAAAUAUUAUAAUUUUUUAUAACUUAUUUUAUUAGAAAAAAUUAUUAUUAUUAUAUAUUAAAAAUAGAAAAAUUUAAAAAUUAUUGGAUUUAUCAAAAUUCUAAAGGCUUGAUUUCAUAUUGCUAAAAAUUUUAGAAAAAAUAUAGAUAUGUAAAGGAAAAGUACUGAUCAUGAUUCAUUCAAAACUAGUUUUGUUCUUCUUUUUUUUUGUUUUAAUUGGUUUUAUUUUUUAGUUUUAAAUUAUUUUUAAAAAUUACUAAAUUCAUUUAAAAUAAAUUCAAUGCAUUAAGUUUUGCUCAAUUUGAAGUUCAUUUGCUAGUAAAAAAAAUCUUAAAAUAUAAUCAUGUUUAAAAAAGAAAUAACAAACUCUUUUUGUACUAGUUUUAGUUUGUGAAUUUUUUUAUACUAACCGGGUUUUUAAGUUUCAAAUUAGUUUUUAUAUAAACUUGUAAACAAA
rnacentral:lncRNA from 1 species